rnacentral:rRNA from 1 species
UGGGGAAUUUUGGACAAUGGGCGAAAGCCUGAUCCAGCAAUGCCGCGUGUGUGAAGAAGGCCUUCGGGUUGUAAAGCACUUUUGUCCGGAAAGAAAUCCUUGGCUCUAAUACAGUCGGGGGAUGACGGUACCGGAAGAAUAAGCACCGGCUAACUACGUGCCAGCAGCCGCGGUAAUACGUAGGGUGCAAGCGUUAAUCGGAAUUACUGGGCGUAAAGCGUGCGCAGGCGGUUUGCUAAGACCGAUGUGAAAUCCCCGGGCUCAACCUGGGAACUGCAUUGGUGACUGGCAGGCUAGAGUAUGGCAGAGGGGGGUAGAAUUCCACGUGUAGCAGUGAAAUGCGUAGAGAUGUGGAGGAAUACCGAUGGCGAAGGCAGCCCCCUGGGCCAAUACUGACGCUCAUGCACGAAAGCGUGGGGAGCAAACAGGAUUAGAUACCCUGGUAGUCCACGCCCUAAACGAUGUCAACUAGUUGUUGGGGAUUCAUUCCUUAGUAACGUAGCUAACGCGUGAAGUUGACCGCCUGGGGAGUACGUCG